rnacentral:tRNA from 1 species
UGAAAGAUAAGCUAAAAAAGCUAAUAGACUCAUACCCUAUAUAUGAAUAUACUUCUCUUUCUA